rfam:Oryza rufipogon genomic scaffold, chr02
AAAAAGACAAAUUCUGGUUUCCGUGUCCAAUGUUUAACCGUCCGUCUUAUUUGAAAAAAUUAUGAAAAAAAUUAAAAAGAUAAGCCACGCAUUAAAUAUUAAUCAUAUUUUUAUCAUCUAAUAAUAAUAAAAAUAUUAAUUAUAAACAAAUUUUAUAUAAGACGGACAGUCAAACGUUGGCACAGAAACCUAGGUUUGUCUUUUUU